GGCGGUCUUCGGUAGUGGCUGCCGGGCUCCCCACCUCGGGGCGGGUCGGCCGCUUCGAUCGACGGCCGUA
rfam:Mycobacterium shimoidei strain HMC_M2 PROKKA_contig000038, whole genome shotgun sequence.